rnacentral:rRNA from 1 species
UGCAGAAUCCCGUGAACCAUCGAGUCUUUGAACGCAAGUUGCGCCCCAAGCCUUCUGGCCGAGGGCACGUCUGCCUGGGUGUCACAAAUCGUCGUCCCCCCAUCCUCUCGAGGAUGCAGGACGGAAGCUGGUCUCCCGUGUGUUACCGCACGCGGUUGGCCAAAAUCCGAGCAAAGGAUGCCAUGAGCGUCUCGACAUGCGGUGGUGAAUUUAUUCCUCGUCAUAAUGUCGGUCGCUUGGCUCCGAGAGCUCUCGAUUGACCCAAUGUUAUCAACGCGACCCCAGGUCAGGCGGGAUCACCCGCUGAGUUUAAGCAUAUCAAUAAGCGGAGGAAAAGAAACUAACAAGGAUUCCCUUAGUAACGGCGAGCGAACCGGGAAGAGCCCAGCUUGAAAAUCGUACGUCUUCGGCGUUCGA